UUACGACCAUAUCACGUUGAAACACCGGUCCCAUAUGAUCACCGAAGUUAAGCAACGUCGAGCCUGCUCAGUAUCUAGAUGGUUGACCUAUAGGGCAUACCAGGUGCU